GACGAACGCUGGCGGCGUGCUUAACACAUGCAAGUCGAACGGAAAGGCCCUGCUUUUGUGGGGUGCUCGAGUGGCGAGCGGGUGAAUAACCCGUGAGUCACCUGCCCUUGACUUUGGGAUAACUUCAGAAAACCGGGGCUAAUACCGGAUAGGAGCUCCUGCUGCAUGGGGGGGUUUGGACAGUUUAGGCGGUUGGGGAUGGACUCGCGGCUUAUCAGCUUGUGGGUGGGGGAGUGGCUUACCAAGGCUUUGACGGGUAGCCGGCCUGAGAGGGUGACCGGCCACAUGGGGACUGAGAGACGGACCAGACUCCUACGGGAGACAGCAGGGGGGAAUAUUGCACAAUGGGCGGGAGCCUGAUGCAGCAACGCCGCGUGCGGGAUGACGGCCUUCGGGGUGUAAACCGCUUUCGCCUGUGACGAAGCGUGAGUGACGGUAAUGGGUAAAGAAGCACCGGCUAACUACGUG
rnacentral:rRNA from 1 species